UAGCGCAGCCCGGUAGCGCACUUGACUGGGGGUCAAGGGGUCGUCGGUUCGAAUCCGGC
rnacentral:tRNA from 1 species